GACGAACGCUGGCGGCGUGCUUAACACAUGCAAGUCGAACGGAAAGGCCCUGCUUUUGUGGUGUUCUCGAGUGGCGAACGGGUGAGUAACACGUGAGUAACCUGCCCUUGACUUUGGGAUAACUUCAGGAAACUGGGGCUAAUACCGGAUAGGAUCUCCUGCUGCAUGGGGGUGGUUGGAGAGUUUCGGCGGUUGGGGCUGGACUCGCUGCUUAUCAGCUGGUUGGUGGGGUAGUGGCGUACCAAGGCUUUGACGGGUAGCCGGCCUGAGAGGGUGACCGGCCACCAUGGGACUGCGAUACGCACCAGAAUCCUACGGGAGGCAGCAGUGGGGAAUAUUGCACAAUGGGCGGAAGCCUGAUGCAGAAACGUCGCGUGCGGGAUGCCGGGUUUCGGGUUGUAAACAGCUUUCGCAUGUGACGAAGAGUGAGUGACGGUAAUGGGUAAAGAAGCACCGGCUAACUACGUG
rnacentral:rRNA from 1 species